GCCGCCCGGUCCGCGCCUGAGACCCCACGGCGUCCUGCGUCCCGGACAGAAGCAGGCGCGGAGAGGUUGCCUCGAGCAGUGCGCCCUGGGUGGGCAGCGCUGGGGACCGGAACCCAAGCACGGUGGCUCCAGGGCCCCGGCCCAGAAGCGCUAGUGACGUCCAGGCCUGUGACUGCACGCAGAGCCACGACGAAGAGGCCCGUGGGAGCCGGCCGGGACGCACGGUCCUAAAGCCUGGCUUUGAACUUGAAGAGCAGGAAGCAGACGCCGUGAGCCCUGGAGAGGCAAGUGGUGUCAUCUCAGAAGCCAGAGCCCACCCAAGAGGAGACGAGAGGCUCAGCCUGCCAGGCAGCGGGCAGCGCAGGCACAGAGCCACUCGUGACACUGCUGGGAAAGAGACCUGGGUGGCACCAGAGAAGCCCUGGGUGUCAGGGGACGGGGCAGAGAGACCGACCUGCACUCCCCUGGCAGAUGUGGCCUGUGGUCCUCCCAGGCCCGACCCAACCUGGAGGUGGAGGGAGGUGUGGGUGGAGCCUGUGGGGUUUCGGGGUCCAGGAAGGCAGCUGCCCGCUGAUGUAGGACCCUGAUCAGCAGACAUCCGGCAGCCACAGUCACUGUGGCAGGGGUGGGGACCCGAUGUGGAUGCCCCAAGCCCAGAGAUUCCCCAGGUGACUGGAAGAUGCAAGCCUCCUGGGAGGAGGAAAGAGCUUGGAGAGGGGUGAGUGCCUCGCCCCAACAGAUUCAAAGGAGACUGAGCAGCCUGGCAUCCAGUUACUGAUAAGCCAAGGGUCUUAGUUAUUCGCCUCGUUGCUGAGACAAAAAUACCCAACACCUGCAACUUAGAAAAGGACAGGUUUAUUUGGCUCACAGUCUGUAGGGGUCCAGUCCAUAAUCAGCAGGCUCCAAGGCAGGGCAGCGAGGUGGAAGGGUCGGGCAGAGGAAAGCUGCUCACGUUAUGGGGUCCAGGAAGCAGAGAAAGGAGGGAGGAGCCAGGGAGGGAGGGAGACCCCACCUUCCAUAGCAAGUCAGCCAUGGAACCCCACGGUUCAGUCCUCUUUCAAAAGCCCCAACUAUAGAACACGAGGUUCAGGAGGGACCUCUAGAUCUCAUCCAUAACAUUCACCCUGACCACAAGAGUCCUGCACAUCGCUUUAUGCAAAAUUCAUUCAGUCCCUCUCAAAGAGUCUCUGGUCUUAAACUCCCAGUCCUGGUCCAAGUCCGAAGUCUCCUCUGAAAUGGGAAGAAAAUGUUCAGAGGGGAAGGGAAAGGAAGGGAGAAACGAGAUAAACAAGAAUAGAAGGGAAAAGUGGAAAUGAAGUUUUUGUAAAUGAGGGGAAGAGGUUCAAAGAGAAGGAAAGGGAAUGAGAAAAAAAGAAGCAGCAAGAUACAAACAGGAACAGAUUCCCUAUGGUGAAUGCUGUCAUCAUGUGCAUCUAAAACGUAUCAAUCAAUGUUUUGCUUCCAAAAAAGAUAGAUUAGAAUAUUAAAAUUAAGAAUAACUGUUUGUCUUUUUUUUAAAAAAGUCUACUCUAAGACAAAGCAAACUCUUAGCUGUGAGCUCCUUAAAAAUCAAAAAGAUAGUGAAACACUUUCAACACACAGAGGCAAAGGGUAAACAUUCCCAUUUCCAAAGGGAGGGAGAAGAGGGUAGAAGUGAAUGGGGCCAAAGUAAGACCAAAGCCCAGCAGGGCCAAUUGGAUCCUGCAGGUCCAUGUCCAGCACCCAGCGCAAAGAUGUGAGCACCAAAGGCUUGGGCAGUCCCACCCGACAGCACUGUGGGUGCAGCUGUCCUGGUCUCAGUUGGGCAGGCUCUGCUCACCGCUUGCAGCUUUCCUCGGUGGACAGUCCACAUUCCUGGCUUCUCCGACUUCCUGGCAUUCCACUGCACCUUUGGCUUCACACACUGCCCUCUGGGGCUCACUGCCUGGCCUCCCAGGUCUUCUUCUGAAAUCUGGGUAGAAACCUUCCCGAUCCCAGAACUCUCACAUUCUGCAU
rnacentral:lncRNA from 1 species